UCGUUAGUUAUAAUUAAUAAUGUCCUACUUUCUAUAGGAAGAAAGAGAUUUUUCUCUACGCAGAG
rnacentral:tRNA from 1 species